rnacentral:rRNA from 1 species
UACAGAGGGGGCAAGCGUUGUUCGGAAUUACUGGGCGUAAAGCGUGCGUAGAUGGUUAUGUAAGUCGGAUGUGAAAGCCCCGGGCUCAACCUGGGAAUGGCGAUGGAUACUGGCUCGCUAGAGUGCGGUAGAGGAGAGUGGAAUUCCCGGUGUAGCAGUGAAAUGCGUAGAGAUCGGGAGGAACAUCAGUUGCGAAGGCGGCUCUCUGGACCAGCACUGACACUGAGGCACGAAAGCGUGGGGAGCAAACAGGG